CAGCCGCCGCGGGAAUACGAAGGGGGCUAGCGUUGCUCGGAAUGACUGGGCGUAAAGGGCGCGUAGGCGGAUUGUUUAGUUAGGCGUGAAAUUCCUUGGCUUAACCUGGGGACUGCGCUUAAUACAGGCAGUCUAGAGUGAGGAAGAGGGUUGUGGAAUUCCCAGUGUAGAGGUGAAAUUCGUAGAUAUUGGGAAGAACACCAGUGGCGAAGGCGGCUCACUGGACCGACACUGACGCUGAUGCACGAAAGCUAGGGGAGCAGACAGGAUUAGAGACCCCAGUAGUCCCUGUCUCUUAUAC
rnacentral:rRNA from 1 species